rnacentral:lncRNA from 1 species
CUGGCUGAGAAAGCAGAGAGCAGCAGCACCACGCUGAAUGUCGCUGAGCAGAUCCAGCGGCUGGAGGAGGAAGUGUCCAGGCUGAAAUCUCAGCAUAGUUCAGUCAGUCAGCAGUGCCUCUGCAUUCUCAUUUUUCACCCCAGCGUGCGCU